UAGGGAAUAUUAGAAAUGGACGAAAGUCUGAUCUAGCAACACCGCGUGUGCGAAGAAGGCCUUCGGGUCGUAAAGCACUUUUUGGAAGGAAUAGGACGGAAUGUACUUCCAGAAUAAGUCUCGGCUAACUACGUGCCAGCAGCCGCGGUAACACGUAGGAGGCGAACGUUAUCCGGAUUUACUGGGCGUAAAGCGCGUGUAGGUGGUUCUGUAAGUAGGGCGUGAAAGCUCCUGGCGCAACUGGGAGAGGCCGUUCGAAACUACAGAACGAGAGGAUGGUAGAGGGAGGUGGAAUUCCAGGUGUAGCGGUGGAAUGCGCAGAUAUCUGGAGGAACACCAGUGGCGAAGGCGGCCUCCUGGACCAUUCCUGACACUCAGACACGAAAGCUAGGGUAGCAAACG
rnacentral:rRNA from 1 species